CCUACGGGAGGCAGCAGUAGGGAAUCUUCCGCAAUGGACGAAAGUCUGACGGAGCAACGCCGCGUGAACGAUGAAGGCCUUCGGGUCGUAAAGUUCUGUUGUUAGGGAAGAACAAGUGCUAGUUGAAUAAGCUGGCACCUUGACGGUACCUAACCAGAAAGCCACGGCUAACUACGUGCCAGCAGCCGCGGUAAUACGUAGGUGGCAAGCGUUGUCCGGAAUUAUUGGGCGUAAAGCGCGCGCAGGCGGUUUCUUAAGUCUGAUGUGAAAGCCCCCGGCUCAACCGGGGAGGGUCAUUGGAAACUGGGAAACUUGAGUGCAGAAGAGGAAAGUGGAAUUCCAAGUGUAGCGGUGAAAUGCGUAGAGAUUUGGAGGAACACCAGUGGCGAAGGCGACUUUCUGGUCUGUAACUGACGCUGAGGCGCGAAAGCGUGGGGAGCAAACAGGAUUAGAUACCCUGGUAGUCCACGCUGUAAACGAUGAGUGCUAAGUGUUAGAGGGUUUCCGCCUUUAGUGCUGAAGUUAACGCAUUAAGCACUCCGCCUGGGGAGUACGGUCGCAAGACUGAAACUNAAAUUGAAUUGAAAGGCUGAGACGNGCGAGAGACGACGAGGAGAG
rnacentral:rRNA from 1 species